rnacentral:rRNA from 1 species
GGGCUUUAACUUUGGGUAAGUAUAUAAAUAUUAUGAAGCAAAAAAUUAUGGCGGUAUCUUAAGCUUUUCAGAGGAAUUUGCUCUAUAAUGGAUAAAACACCUUAAUCUUACUUUAAUUAGUAAAAAACAGUUUGUAUACCACUAUUAAAAUAAUAAUAUACAAUUAUUAUUAAAGUGUAUUAUUUAUGUAUUUAAAUAAAGUUAAGUCAAGGUGCAGCAAAAAUUAAAGUAUGAAGUGAAUUACAUUGCUUUUUAGAUGAAAAAAUGAAAAUAAGUUUAGGAUUUGAAAGUAAAAUUAAAAUAGGAAGUUAAUUUGAAUUAAGCUCUAGGAUAUGUACAUAUCGCCCGUCACUCUUUAUUAAGAUAAGUCGUUACAUAGA